GGAGACAGCAUAUACUGCAGUCGAGCGAGCUUGCCUAGAUGAUUUUAGUGCUUGCACUAAAUGAAACUAGAUACAAGCGAGCGGCGGACGGGUGAGUAACACGUGGGUAACCUGCCCAAGAGACUGGGAUAACACCUGGAAACAGAUGCUAAUACCGGAUAACAACACUAGACGCAUGUCUAGAGUUUGAAAGAUGGUUCUGCUAUCACUCUUGGAUGGACCUGCGGUGCAUUAGCUAGUUGGUAAGGUAACGGCUUACCAAGGCAAUGAUGCAUAGCCGAGUUGAGAGACUGAUCGGCCACAUUGGGACUGAGACACGGCCCAAACUCCUACGGGAGGCAGCAGUAGGGAAUCUUCCACAAUGGACGAAAGUCUGAUGGAGCAACGCCGCGUGAGUGAAGAAGGGCUUCGGCUCGUAAAGCUCUGUUGGUAGUGAAGAAAGAUAGAGGUAGUAACUGGCCUUUAUUUGACGGUAAUUACUUAGAAAGUCACGGCUAACUACGUGCCAGCAGCCGCGGUAAUACGUAGGUGGCAAGCGUUGUCCGGAUUUAUUGGGCGUAAAGCGAGUGCAGGCGGUUCAAUAAGUCUGAUGUGAAAGCCUUCGGCUCAACCGGAGAAUUGCAUCAGAAACUGUUGAACUUGAGUGCAGAAGAGGAGAGUGGAACUCCAUGUGUAGCGGUGGAAUGCGUAGAUAUAUGGAAGAACACCAGUGGCGAAGGCGGCUCUCUGGUCUGCAACUGACGCUGAGGC
rnacentral:rRNA from 1 species